rnacentral:rRNA from 1 species
GACAGAGGUGCCAAGCGUUAGGCGGAAUCACUGGGCUUAAAGCGUGUGUAGGCGGAUGUCUAAGUAUCUUGUGAAAUCCCACGGCUCAACCGUGGAACUGCUUGGUAUACUGGAUGUCUUGAGCCACUUAGGGGUCAGCGGAACAAAUGGUGGAGCGGUGAAAUGCGUAAAUAUCAUUUGGAACGCCAAUGGUGAAAACAGCUGACUGGGAGUGUGCUGACGCUGAGACACGAAAGCUAGGGGAGCAAACGGG